rnacentral:rRNA from 1 species
UACGUAGGGUGCUAGCGUUAUCCGGAUUUACUGGGCGUAAAGGGUGCGCAGGUGGUCUUUCAAGUCGGUGGUUAAAGGAUACGGCUCAACCGAAUUAAGCCGCCGAAACUGGAAGACUUGAGUGUAGGAGAGGAAAGGGGAAUUCCCAGUGUAGCGGUGAAAUGCGUAGAUAUUGGGAAGAACACCAGUGGCGAAGGCGGGUUUCUGGAC